rnacentral:rRNA from 1 species
GUUGAAACUCAAAGGAAUUGACGGGGGCCCGCACAAGCGGUGGAGCAUGUGGUUUAAUUCGAAGCAACGCGAAGAACCUUACCAGGUCUUGACAUCCUUUGACCACUCUAGAGAUAGAGCUUCCCCUUCGGGGGCAAAGUGACAGGUGGUGCAUGGUUGUCGUCAGCUCGUGUCGUGAGAUGUUGGGUUAAGUCCCGCAACGAGCGCAACCCUGAUUGUUAGUUGCCAUCAGUCAGUUGGGCACCCUAGCAAGACUGCCGGUGACAAACCGGCGGAAGGUGGGGAUGGCGUCAAAUCAUCAUUCCCCUUAUGACCUGGGCUCCACACGCGCUACAAUGGGCAAUACAACGAGUUGCGAAGUCCCGCGGCUAACCCAACCUCUUAAAGCUUCUCCCAGUUCGGAUUUCAGUCUGCCCCUCCCCUGCACGAAGCCGCAAUCGCCCCUAAUCACGGUCCCGCACGCCGCGGUGAAUCCGUUCC